rnacentral:lncRNA from 10 species
GGGCAGCCCUGAAGCAGGCAAAGGAAAAGUGGCACGGCAGGAAGCAAGUCAGAUGAGGGGGCCUGGUUUGUGCGAGAACAUGACAAACCAGUGUUCCUGAAGCCUAAAGGGAAGGUGAGACAAGGCAGAGGAGGCUGGCGGGGCCAGGUCACGGAGUCUCCUGUGCCACACUGAGAGUCUGGGCUUGAGCUUGUGGAGAGCCCAAGGAUGAAAACAGAGAAGUAAUUAAUGGCAGCUUUCCUGGGCCAGAAGAAUAAAUAAGGAAUUAUCUUACAAACAGG